GCCCCUUUAGCUCAGCUGGUUAGAGCGUCUUGCUAAUAUCGCGAAGGUCGUGGGUUCGAUUCCCCCCACGGGCC